GAGCGGCGCGGCGCGGCCGGGAGUUGAGCCGGCUGAGGGGGGCGCGCAGGAUGGAAGAGGAGGGGCUGGAGGGAGGGGCAGGCCGACCGACCGACCAGGUGUAGGGAGCGGGUGGCGCGCCCCGUAGGCUCCUGGAUCGGUGUCCCCGCCCGAGGGGCAAAACUUCGCGUCUUAAAACGUUGUAACCCUGCUUCGCCGCUGCAGAGUAAGUCAAACCCCGUCCUGAGCCUGAAGCGUGUGAAUGAAGUCGGUGACACCGGUGUCUCACAGCAGGUCAGGCUGAACUUCCCUGUCCCUCGCCUGGACUCCUGAAGGGUGUAAGCAGGCAGUACUUUAACAACCUGUUUCAUGUAUUGAUUGCUGGAUUCCCCCCGCUUGAAAACCUACUGGCGUUUGAGAUGGAGGAAGCAUGUAAAAUGACCUGGCUGGACGGCCAAGGCACGACGAUGGAGUUGCUGUGAGAGAGAGCGGCAAUAGAGCAUACAGCAAGAAGCAGAAGGGGGUGUUGGAACUUAAGAGAGCUGAUUCCCAGACCGACCAGGAGGAGGUGCCACCUGCGCUGCAAAUGUUUCAGCGCUCCCCUACCAUCUCUGUUCCAGAGGCUAGCGCAGAUAAGAAGGAGUCAGAACUUCUCAAUCCACCACUCCCAGGCGAUGAAACAAGAUUCUUUUAAAGUGCUCUUCUGUGCAUCAGAAAACUUGUGGGUCUCAUGGCAAUAUGGAAGGUUAAACAACAGUUGAUGCCUUGUGAAAAAGAUUGAAAAACAACCUAUUGAGAAACAGUGCAGUCUACAUAUCUGAAUUUGCACAGAAAUUAAUGUUCUGUGCAGAAUUUCCUUUUCCCCCCACAGAAAUGGGCUGCUGAGCUGCUGGCAGCCACUAGAUUUGGCAGAGCCCAGCUCCAAAAUAGAGGAUACUGUGAAGAGAACGGGGACAGAGCUGGAGGAUUCUGGGCAGUUGCAACUCCUGGCAUGCCCUGAAGGAAGGAGAUGGCAAGCAGAAAAUUCCACACAAGCUCAGGACCCAGCAUCAGGCUGUUUGUCCCUCUGGAUCCCUGGGCUCUAGCAGCAAAAAACUUGAUAACUUCUGUGAGUGUCCUGUGAGAGGAACUGGAAACUGCAGAGGGAGAUGGUUUUGGGGAGAUUCAGGACUGGAAGAGUUGUUGGUGUCAUCCUGCAAGGAGUAACAAGGCUAGGAGAACCUAGGAUGAAGCCAUUAUGCUGGUGAAGGCUACUUGCAUCAGGGCUCUGAGCCAAAGCUGCACAGCAUAGAAGCACUCUGUUACAGGGCAGGCAGUGGUGAACUCCCAAAGCAUCACAUUGGCAUAGUCAAACAGGAUUUACUGUUUUCUGCUUGCUAUUUGGCUCACACUCAAACCACAGUUGCCAACUUUCACGUGGUAAAUAAGCACCCCGACUUUCACAAUAAGCCAAAAAUUAAGCUAAUACCAUUUCAAAACAAGGCCAAAGCAAGCCAGUCCCUAAGAACCCCAGCACUCUAUAUGACUAGAUCCCCCCUAGGUGGGCAGUCUGGGACUGUGGUGGGCCUGCUGUGCACCCCUGAAUCUCUCCCCCUCUUGCCCCUUGUCUCUGCUUGCUUGGAGCCGAUCAAAACAAAGAAGUAACAAGCUGCAACAAGACAAAAACUAGCCAACAAGAAACUCACAAGCCAAUUAAACUAAAAACAAGCCCAAUUUCUACAAUUUUUUUCAUGGGUUUGGCAUGUCUGACUCAAACCACUGAUUUACUAGAUUUUUAAGAGAUUUUUCAAGUGAGAAGGCUGAGUGGAGUCAAAGAAAGUUUACAGAUUUAUUGUUUUUUGUUUGCUUAUUUUGGGCAAGGACCUAGAACAAAAGGCAUUUUAAAAUGAACAGCAGCGAAAUAACCACAACGUUAGAACUAGACAGAUUGGAGGCUGAUCAGAAAGAGAAAGAAUGCAAAGCUGCAAAAGCAGCUCAUGAUCACCAGAAAUGGGAAGCCAAACAGCAAGAUAAAACCAAAUAAGAGAAGCAGACCAGAGAGCCAAAAAAGUGGACCUGAGAGACGAGGAGAGGGAGGCAGAAAAGCAACAACAGGAGGAAGGUUUCAGAGUAGCAGCCGUGUUAGUCUGUAUUCGCAAAAAGAAAAGGAGGAAGCACACCAGUGAACAAUGGAACUAAAAAGAGAAAGAAGCCCAAGAAAGGGGGGGGGGAGAGAGAGAGAGACUGUAUAACCUGGAUAUGAUGGAUAAAUAUGGACACAACCCACAGGUACUCUCUAUUUCUCAGGAAUAGUCUGAUGGGACAAGCUAUGCCCUGCAUACAAAAAAUCAGAUUGCAUUGAGGAAUAUCUUACUACUUUUGAAAGAUUCUGUGUGUUGCAUAAGGUCCCAGAAGACAAGAAAUUCCCCACGCUGGUGAAAAGGCUUUUGGAUAAAGCAGUAAAUGUAUUUAAUGAAAUGCCAAUUGAAUAGGUUUGAAAUACAAUGAAUUUGAAAAGGCUGUAUUGCAAAGGUUUCAAAUCACCCCUGAAGUGUACAGGUUGAGAUUUAGAAACUCAAAAAGGAUGUUAAUAUGAGUUGUAGAGAAUAUAUGUAUGAUUUGAUGAGGAAAUGGGCAGAAGGAAAAGGGGCAGAGAAUUACGACCAGUUACUUGAACUUUUUGCACAAGAGCAUUUUCUAAGUGUAUGUAUGCUCUGAUGAAAUCAGAGCUGUUCUUUGGGAUAAAUCUCUAAUGUCUGUGCAAGAGGCUGCUGACACAAGACAGUUUCCAGUGAGCACAAGCCUCCAAGGGAAGGGCAGAGGGAGGAAAGUGGGAGGGUUGAGCCCAGGCACUUAUCUCCUCAGAACCGAUGCCCUCCUGGAAAUCACAUUUGCAGACCUAUGUCAUCGGAGAACGGACCCAGAAAGUAUUUCACAUGUAAUUCCACCAAGCACCUGAGGGACAAUUGCCCUAACCAAAGGGAAUCUAAGCCUACAACCAUCCAGCCACAACCCAGAGUAAUGCCGCUGUUGUAAACACAGGAUCCACAGAGGUGCCUGAAACAUUCCUGAUAAUCUUUGUAAGGUCCGGCCCUUUGGAGGUUGCUGCUGAGUUUAUUAAAUCAUCACAGAGAAUGGCAAAGAAUGCCUAGAGUGGAGAGACAUUGGUGCCCAGAUCUCUCUGAUUAGCAAGAGCAUGGUCAGGAAGACUGACAGGCUGCAGGGAGAAAGUGUAGAGCUCCUGGCAUUGGGAAGCUGUAAAACCAGUGUGCCUUUAGCUAAAGUGCAUUUGGAGUGGGAAGGCGUGGAAGCCAUUUUAAAUGUUGGUGUGUUGGAUUGAAUUCCAGCAGAAAUACUCAUAGGAAAUGAUGUAUUCACUAUGUCUAAAGUUGUUUAAUACAAACCUGCUCUUUUCUGAAUGUUGGCAGAAUGAAAGGCUGUCUUAGAAACACCUGAAACUGGGCUGCUUGAUAAAAAGGAGUAAUAAGAAGAUAAAACUUCUGAUGCUAGGAGUAGUCACAGAUUUGAUCCUGUGUGAAAUUUUAGCCAUUUUUCACCAGUGGCUCAACAGACUUUGACAAGAAAAUGAUGAAAUUCUGCCCUGUUGGAAAAAAUCAAGAGUUGUGUACAUUUGACCUUGGCAGAAAAGUCACUGUUUUACAAAGAAAACAUUUUGUUGAUGUUGUUUGUCAAAAUUACAGUUCUCUGCUUGUGUAA